rnacentral:rRNA from 1 species
GGAUAACCCCGGGAAACCGGGGCUAAUACCGAAUAUGACCUCCGAUCGCAUGGUUGGUGGUGGAAAGUUUUUCGGCUUGGGAUGGGCUCGCGGCCUAUCAGCUUGUUGGUGGGGUGAUGGCCUACCAAGGCGACGACGGGUAGCCGGCCUGAGAGGGCGACCGGCCACACUGGGACUGAGACACGGCCCAGACUCCUACGGGAGGCAGCAGUGGGGAAUAUUGCACAAUGGGCGGAAGCCUGAUGCAGCGACGCCGCGUGAGGGAUGACGGCCUUCGGGUUGUAAACCUCUUUCAGCAGGGACGAAGCGUAAGUGACGGUACCUGCAGAAGAAGCGCCGGCCAACUACGUGCCAGCAGCCGCGGUAAGACGUAGGGCGCGAGCGUUGUCCGGAUUUAUUGGGCGUAAAGAGCUCGUAGGCGGCUUGUCGCGUCGACCGUGAAAACCUGGGGCUCAACCCCAGGCCUGCGGUCGAUACGGGCAGGCUAGAGUUCGGUAGGGGAGACUGGAAUUCCUGGUGUAGCGGUGAAAUGCGCAGAUAUCAGGAGGAACACCGGUGGCGAAGGCGGGUCUCUGGGCCGAUACUGACGCUGAGGAGCGAAAGCGUGGGGAGCGAACAGGAUUAGAUACCCUGGUAGUCCACGCUGUAAACGUUGGGCGCUAGGUGUGGGGGGCCUCUCCGGUUCCCUGUGCCGCAGCUAACGCAUUAAGCGCCCCGCCUGGGGAGUACGGCCGCAAGGCUAAAACUCAAA